CCCCGCCGUCUGCUCGCCGCGCGCUCUUCUGGCGGGCUGGGCGCCGUCGCCAACGCCACCGGCUUCGAGGCUCCGCCCACUUCGGGCUCCCGCACGCGCGGCGCAAUGCUUCAGGCACAGGGUGGAUGGGCUUCUUCCUGACAUGUGUUUCCAUCACAGUGUACUGUGCCACUGAAAGCCCACAAGAACAAGGCCAGUCAUAGACUGAAAGCUCCAAGAGUUGCAAGUCAAAAUAAAACUUUUCUUUUCUA